CUAAAUAGGAUUCCCUUAGUAAUGGCGAACGAACCAGGGAUGAGCUCGGCUUGGAAACUGGGGCCUCGGCCUUGGAUUGUAGCCUCUAGACAUAGUGCCAACGGAGGCGCAGGUGCAAGCCUCUUGGAAAAGAGCAUCAAUGUGGGUGAGAAUCCUGUGUUUCACUUGCAGUCCACCGUGCACGGCACAUGUUCUCAGAGUCGCGUUCCUCGGAAUUGGAGCGUAAAGUGGGUGGUAAAUUUCAUCUAAAGCUAAAUAUAGGCUUGAGACCGAUAGCAAACAAGUACCAUGAGGGAAAGAUGAAAAGGACUUUGAAAAGAGAGUUAAAAGUGCUUGAAAUCGCUGAAAGGGAAGCGAAUGGAACCAGUCUUCUGGCUGAGAUUGUUGCGUGCUACUGUGAUGCCUGGCUGCUUCAACGCAAGUGUGGCAGUUAGAGUUGAUCAGCUGUGCGUGAUGUUUCUCAGCUUGUUAGUCAACCUUUGUUCGUGCUUGGGGAUAACUGCGGGUUCCAUGUUCUUCUCUGCGGAGUUGAGCUCGUGCCUGUAAGGACUCAGGUGUGUACAAUUGGUGACAAAAUGGUUCUCUUCGACCCGUCUUGAAACACGGACCAAGGAGUCUAGCACAUGUGCAAGUUCACAGGUGGCAAGCCUGCUUGCGCAAUGAAGGUGACUGUCUGGGAUAUUUGCACCAGCAUCCGACCAAUCCCUCGAG
rnacentral:rRNA from 1 species